rnacentral:rRNA from 1 species
ACGGCUCAGUAACACGUGGACAACCUACCCUAUGGAGGGGGAUAACCCCGGGAAACUGGGGAUAAUACCCCAUAGACUAUAGAUGCUGGAAUGCUUUGUAGUUGAAAGGUCCGCCGCCAUAGGAUGGGUCUGCGGCCGAUUAGGUUGUUGUUGGGGUAACGGCCCAACAAGCCUGUAAUCGGUACGGGUUGUGGGAGCAAGAGCCCGGAGAUGGAUUCUGAGACACGAAUCCAGGCCCUACGGGGCGCAGCAGGCGCGAAAACUUUACAAUGCGGGAAACCGUGAUAAGGGAACUCCGAGUGCCCGUACAAUCGGGCUGUCCAUCUGUUUAAAUAACAGGUGAAGAAAGGGCCGGGCAAGACCGGUGCCAGCCGCCGCGGUAAUACCGGCGGCUCGAGUGGUGGCCACUAUUACUGGGCUUAAAGCGUUCGUAGCCGGUCUGUUAAGUCUCUGGGGAAAUCUACUGGCUUAACCAAUAGGCGUCUCAGGGAUACUGGCAGACUAGGGACCGGGAGAGGUGAGAGGUACUCCAGGGGUAGGAGUGAAAUCCUGUAAUCCUUGGGGGACCACCUGUGGCGAAGGCGUCUCACCAGAACGGCUCCGACAGUGAGGGACGAAAGCUGGGGGAGCAAACCGGAUUAGAUACCCGGGUAGUCCCAGCCGUAAACGAUGCGCGUUAGGUGUAUCGGUGACCACGAGUCACCGAGGUGCCGAAGAGAAAUCGUGAAACGUGCCGCCUGGGAAGUACGGUCGCAAGGCUGAAACUUAAAGGAAUUGGCGGGGGAGCAC